rnacentral:rRNA from 1 species
AUUGAACGCUGGCGGCAUGCCUUACACAUGCAAGUCGAACGGCAGCACGGGUGCUUGCACCUGGUGGCGAGUGGCGAACGGGUGAGUAAUAUAUCGGAACGUACCUUAUUGUGGGGGAUAACGCAGCGAAAGCUGUGCUAAUACCGCAUAAUCCCUAAGGGGGAAAGCGGGGGACCGUAAGGCCUCGCGCAAUUAGAGCGGCCGAUAACUGAUUAGCUAGUUGGUGAGGUAAAGGCUCACCAAGGCAACGAUCAGUAGCUGGUCUGAGAGGACGAUCAGCCACACUGGGACUGGGACACGGCCCAGACUCCUACGGGAGGCAGCAGUGGGGAAUUUUGGACAAUGGGGGCAACCCUGAUCCAGCAAUGCCGCGUGAGUGAAGAAGGCCUUCGGGUUGUAAAGCUCUCUUGUCAGGGAAGAAACAGCAGCUCUAACACAGUUUGCGAAUGACGGUACCUGAAGAAUAAGCACCGGCUAACUACGUGCCAGCAGCCGCGGUAA